rnacentral:rRNA from 33 species
UUGACCUCAAAUCAGGUAGGAUUACCCGCUGAACUUAA